rnacentral:rRNA from 1 species
GACAGAGGGUGCAAACGUUGUUCGGAAUUACUGGGCGUAAAGCGCGUGUAGGCGGUCCGCUAAGUCGGGUGUGAAAGCCCUGGGCUCAACCCAGGAAGUGCACUCGAAACUGGCGGGCUAGAGUAUCGGAGAGGUUGGUGGAAUUCUCGGUGUAGAGGUGAAAUUCGUAGAUAUUGGGAAGAACACCAGUGGCGAAGGCGGCUAACUGGUCCGGAUCUGACGCUGAGGUGCGAAAGCGUGGGGAGCAAACAGG